CCUACGCGGUGCAGCAGUAGGGAAUAUUGCUCAAUGGGGGAAACCCUGAAGCAGCAACGCCGCGUGGAGGAUGAAGGGUUUCGGAGUGUAAACUCCUGUUGUCAGAGAAGAUAAUGACGGUAUCUAACGAAUAAGCACCGGCUAACUCCGUGCCAGCAGCCGCGGUAAUACGGAGGGUGCAAGCGUUACUCGGAUUUACUGGGUGUAAAGAGCGCGCAGGCGGGAUAGCAAGUCAGAAGUGAAAUCCUAUGGCUUAACCAUAGAACUGCAUUUGAAACUGUUAUUCUAGAGUAUAGGAGUGGUAGGUGGAAUUCUUGGUGUAGCGGUAAAAUCCGUAGAGAUCAAGAGGAAUACUCAUUGCGAAGGCGACCUGCUAGAACAUAACUGACGCUGAUGCGCGAAAGCGUGGGGAGCAAACAGGAUUAGAUACCCGAGUAGUC
rnacentral:rRNA from 1 species